AAUUGGAUCCAAAUCUCAUCAGUUUUGGAUCAAUCCUUAUACCAGCUCUAAAAAAAGUUGAGUUGAAACUGGUAUAAUGGAUCACCAAUGCGGUUGCUCGGGUCGGAAUUUGGGUCUAAACCGGCUGUUUGGACCACGGAUACAGGUGCUCUAAUAACAAUGGUUUUCGUCUUAACAAUGAAAAACAAUGUAAAAUCUCAAUCCCUUUAAAAAGUAAAAUUAGGGUUUUAUUUUGAAAUUACCGUAAAUAUGGCGAUAACCAUGAAAAAUAUGGUUAAUACAUAAUAUUUCACUGUAUGUAUUACCUAGACAGCUGGGACUUCAAGAUGAGCGUGUACGGUUUGUUGCAUUGAGGAAAAUUUUCAUUCCAAUAGGCGCCAUAUUUAACAUUUGUUAUGGUCGGAACCAGGUUAUUCCGGACAAUUUCAGCUGGAAAUAGCUGAAAGAUUGGAAUCGGAAGGCGACGGCACGGAUUCUGGUGGUAGCGCGAGGCAGAUGGAGAGAACAGAGUAUCACAGAGCUAAGUGCUUGAGACGUGGGCGCAUCAUGGCACAACCCGUGCUUAUUAUUCGCACAUCCGGAGCCUGGGGUUAGAAUGGGAGCCAGAGCCGUUUCCCGAGAAUAAUUCCGCGAGUGGUAGUGAGCCGGUGUGCAGUGCAGAUCAUGAAAAUCAAUCAAAUUAGUGCCAAUUUAGUGUAUCCCAGUGUAUUAAUUUUUUUUUCUAAAAACUCGGAUUAUCAUGUGUAUGUGAAUCAAGUGUUAAAAAUAAAUAAUAAAUGUAUAUAAAUUAACCUA